AUCUUCUUCCUUUAUUCAUGGCUUUCUCCAUGGUUGAGGCUUAGGAAAAGCUCAAGAGAACCAGAGGAAACCGAGCUCACCAGCCCCUCCAUCGUCGCACGCCCGGAAGGCCAUCGUCGGCCGUUUUCCUCUCUUGUUUUCCCCUCGUUCCAGUUUCUGCUCCAGCCGACCUUUCGCCAAAGAUCCAAGUAAAAAGUUAACUUCCCGGUUGAAUCAGCGAACGAGCCACCCAUCACCGCGAAGACGACAUCCAGACCGUUCCGGAGCACCUC
rnacentral:lncRNA from 1 species